AAGGAAUAUUGGUCAAUGGACGCAAGUCUGAACCAGCCAUGCCGCGUGCAGGAUGACGGCCCUAUGGGUUGUAAACUGCUUUUGUACGGGAAAAAACCUUCGGACGUGUCCGGAGCUGAUGGUACCGUAAGAAUAAGGAUCGGCUAACUCCGUGCCAGCAGCCGCGGUAAUACGGAGGAUCCAAGCGUUAUCCGGAUUCAUUGGGUUUAAAGGGUGCGCAGGCGGGUAAAUAAGUCAGAGGUGAAAUCCUACAGCUCAACUGUAGAACUGCCUUUGAUACUGUUUGCCUAGAGUAUAAUUGAAGUGGGCGGAAUGUAGCAUGUAGCGGUGAAAUGCUUAGAUAUGCUACAGAACACCGAUUGCGAAGGCAGCUCACUAAGCUAAAACUGACGCUCAUGCACGAAAGCGUGGGGAUCAAAC
rnacentral:rRNA from 1 species